UAGGGAAUCUUCCGCAAUGGACGCAAGUCUGACGGAGCAACGCCGCGUGAGUGAAGAAGGAUUUCGGUUCGUAAAACUCUGUUGUUAGAGAAGAACAGCGCAUAGAGUAACUGUUAUGCGUGUGACGGUAUCUAACCAGAAAGCCACGGCUAACUACGUGCCAGCAGCCGCGGUAAUCCGUAAGGUCCGAGCGUUGUCCGGAAUCAUUGGGCGUCAAGGGUACGUAGGCGGGUAAGCAAGUUAGAAGUGAAAUCCUGUAGCUCAACUACAGUAAGCAUUUAAAACGGAUGAGAUUGAGAGAUGGGAGGGAAAGUGGAAUUGCGAGUGUAGCGGUGAAAUGCGCAGAUAGUAGGAGGAAUACCGGUGGCGAAGGCGACUUUCUGGCCAUAAUCUGACGAUGAGGUACGAAAGCGUGGGUAGCAAACAGG
rnacentral:rRNA from 1 species